rnacentral:sRNA from 1 species
GGAUGUGAGGGUGAUCUAGCUGCAACAUCUGUCGCCCCAUUGGUUGCCUGGGUUGAUUUGCUCACAAAGCCGUGUGCUUGGUAAAAGAGGAUGGCCAUCCCAGAGAGAAGGAGUGUACUGUUCUUUGGUCAAGGGUAUACAAUAGCAAUGCAGUGCUCUCAAGUCCAUCUAGGAAAAGUGGCUGUUAUCU